rnacentral:misc_RNA from 1 species
CUAGAAGCAAAUGGAAAUCAAGCUCAUUUAAACGAGGAGAAGAGCGGGGAGGAAAUAUGAAUUCAAAUAUCAGCCUACAAUACUGCUAGCCUAGGGCAGAUCCCAUUUUUUCCCAAAGCAUAGUACCAUAUCAGAGAUAAGUUAUGCUUCCUUCAUAUGUCCACUCACUAAACUAUGAUAAAAAUAUACAAACACUAUCCUUACCAGUACUAGAACACUGCCGUACUCAGCCCAAACACAUUGAAAAUGGAGAAAAAGCAAACAAUAUUACAUUCUAACUUAUGCUGCCAAAACUGGAACUCUCUUCUGUCCGAUGAAGGCCUGUCUAAGCCCAUGAUACCCAUUUCUGUAAUAUUCGAGUGAGAAACACAAUUGCCUGAUAGCUUCCCGUUUCUCUUCUGCUCCUUCUAGGAUCACAAUUCUUUGCCUUUCAACUUCUUCUUCAAGAUCCUUAGCUUUUGACCUUAACUCAUCCGCCAACUUAGAUGCCUCUUCAGCACCAGUAAUGAGCUUCACUUGCUCCAUAUGUAAUUGCUGUAAAUGCUCGUCUAAUUGAUCAAUCCGACCGUCUCUAGAGAUUACAUCUGUGUUGAGUGCAGUAACUUGCACAUUAAGCUCGUCUCUCUCUAACUUCAAAGCAUCAACGGUUUUAUUCAAAUUUUCUAUGCGAACAUCUUGUUCCUCAAUUUCUUCCUUUAACUGCUUCAUUUCAGAGUCCAGUAGCUCCUCCGUUUCUGACUUUUCUGUCUGUAAUCUUCUAAUUUCAUCCUUUAAAAACCGGCUACGUGAUUCCCAUUCUCUUAGCUGCUCCUCCAAGCGUUUUUGUUCCUCCAACAAUCUACAUAUUUCAGCCUUAAUCUGUGCUUUUUCAGGAAAAAUCUUCUGCUCAGCAUCAGAUACUGCCAUUUUUAAGUCUCUAAUCUCAUGAUCCCUGUCCGAUAAACUAGUUUUCAACCUUGCAAUUCUUUCCAGCAGCUUGGUCACCUCCUUUUUGUCAGCGUUGAACUUGGUUUUCCGUGUGUUAAUGUCUUUGUUAGCUGAUGCAAGAUGAUCCUGCAAAUUGCUGACUUUUUCAGUGUGUCUAUCACUCUCAACCUGAUGCUUCAAAGUAGCAAUUUUAUUCUCCGCAUACAGUAGCUUCUCUUUUGUGAUUUUGAGUUCGUCUGUCAAUGCCUUAAUCCUGCUAUCAGAUUCCACAGUUUCAGCUUCCUUUCUGUCAAUAUUUUCUUGAAGCUGUGGUUCCUGAGCCAUCUCAGGUUCCAGCUCAGCCUCCACUGUCUUAACAUUUUCUUCAGAUGAUAAUGCGAACUCAGGCUGCAAACGAUUGGUGGAUUCCAGCGAUUUAUACUUCUGGAGGUCAAUUUUUAAUCUGGCCGCCUCUUCUUCAGAAAGCAGUAUCCUCUGUUUAGCAAUCUUCAGCUCUUGCUCAUAUCCCACAAUCCUAGCAAGAACAUCUUCAGAAAUCUCAUUCCUCACCUCCCUAAAUGAGCCAUCUCCAUUCUCCUCCUGAUGCAACAAGAGUUUCUCUUUCAUUUCACGUAACUCAAUCUCUAGUUCAAUUGUCUUCCUGUUCUGUGCAUGAUCACCACCAUUCCCUAGUAGACCUGAGUAAUUGUUUACUGGGGAGUCAUCAGAUUCUGACUCAUAAUCUGUUACAGUAGAUGAUUCAUCUCCUUCUUUAUGAAGAUCAGAGCUGCUUCCACCAGAACCAACAAAGAAUUCAAAACCAGCAGCUUGGGUCCCAGAUUUACGAUGAGGCAGCCUCUGUUCAUGUACAGGAGAGGGCCAUACUGAGGUCGGUUCGGACACAACAUCAGAAAUGCCUGAGCCCUGGGAUUGCAGAUCAGAUGGAAUAUUCUUCCUCAGUUCUCCUGUCACAUGAUCAUAACGUUCGGCCAGAGACCGGUACAUGCGGUAGAACUCUUCAACAAGAGAAAUCAAUUCUGGCCUCUUCUGAUAAUACAUUUCAGCCUUUUUAGCAAAUGAAUCUCCAUCCUCUUCAAUUAGCUUUAACAUCCGCCUGACGCUCUGGUCCAUUUCUGUUGUCAAGGAUCGUUUUGUAAUUUACUUGUUCAGCAUUUUGGAAAUCAAAAUGAUCACAGCAUUAGAGAUUUUCGUAAUGUAAAAAAGAAAACUCAUGAACAGUUGCUCUUCUCCCAGCAGAAUGGCUGUUGGGAUUGAGUAAUAGCAAUCACUCAAAGCCCUGCCCAAUUUAGAAUUAAUAAAGGUUAGUUGCAGAGGAAAUGGCUAAAAUUAUCAAACCGUUGCUCAUUUUACUUGUUUUAACCAUGAAUCUUUUCAGACCUUGUUUUUCUGAACGGACACUUUUGACAUGAAACAAAAUAGAAGCAGAUGCCAAGACAUAGGCAACAGACAUUUCAAUUAAGACACCGCAAUACACAUAUGUUGUACAGAAAUAUAGGAAACAGACAAUUUGCAUAAAAAAAUAUAGGCAACAAACAUUGUUAUUAAGACACUUCAUUAUGCAUAUAUUGCAAGGAAAUAUAACUUUCAAACUAGAGCUUCUUAUUGGAAAUAUGAAUCAGAGUGGAAUCCACAUAUCAUUAUUUAGACAAAGCAUUACCAUUAAGAAGGCCUCAAAAAUGAGGUGUAAUAUGACUCAUGACACUGUGAUACACAAGGGAGUGAUCUUAUCCUUUACAAAUUUGGAGCGUGGAAAGUGCAAUCUCGUUGCUUACCCUCAAGAUUCUCCGCAAGCCAUUUAGAAUUUUUGGGACUGGUGUGACUAUCCCACCACCAGGAAUGUGAUUUCUUUGAUUGUAUCCCCUUGAAGUUCUUAUUUACUGUAACCAUAGAUGAAGCCAUUUGGCAAGCUGGUGGAAGCUAAAAGUAUAUAAAAUAAAAAAUGGAUCCAAAGAGUGAGAGAAUUCAACUUUGAAAUGUUAACAUAAAUAUCAAGCAAGCGAGGCUCUUUUCAAUGGAGAGAAAUUCCGGCUUCAAAAACCGUGAAAGGAUGCCGUGUCAGAGGAAUUGAAGACUAAUCUUAAGUAAACCAGAGCA